rnacentral:rRNA from 1 species
GAACCUGAAACCGUGUACGUACAAGCAGUAGGAGCACCUUCGUGGUGUGACUGCGUACCUUUUGUAUAAUGGGUCAGCGACUUAUAUUCAGUGGCAAGGUUAACCGUAUAGGGGAGCCGUAGCGAAAGCGAGUCUUAACUGGGCGCUCAGUCUCUGGAUAUAGACCCGAAACCGGGUGAUCUAGCCAUGGGCAGGUUGAAGGUUGAGUAACAUCAACUGGAGGACCGAACCGACUAAUGUUGAAAAAUUAGCGGAUGACUUGUGGCUAGGGGUGAAAGGCCAAUCAAACUCGGAGAUAGCUGGUUCUCCCCGAAAGCUAUUUAGGUAGCGCCUCGGACGAAUACUACUGGGGGUAGAGCACUGUUAAGGCUAGGGGGUCAUCCCGACUUACCAACCCUUUGCAAACUCCGAAUACCAGUAAGUACUAUCCGGGAGACACACGGCGGGUGCUAACGUCCGUCGUGGAGAGGGAAACAACCCAGACCGCCAGCUAAGGUCCCAAAGUAUUGCUAAGUGGGAAACGAUGUGGGAAGGCUCAGACAGCUAGGAUGUUGGCUUAGAAGCAGCCAUCAUUUAAAGAAAGCGUAAUAGCUCACUAGUCGAGUCGGCCUGCGCGGAAGAUGUAACGGGGCUAAGCAAUACACCGAAGCUGCGGCAAUGUCUUUUAGACAUUGGGUAGGGGAGCGUUCUGUAAGCCGUUGAAGGUGAAUCGUAAGGUUUGCUGGAGGUAUCAGAAGUGCGAAUGCUGACAUGAGUAACGACAAAGGGGGUGAAAAACCUCCUCGCCGGAAGACCAAGGGUUCCUGUCCAACGUUAAUCGGGGCAGGGUGAGUCGACCCCUAAGGUGAGGCCGAAAGGCGUAAUCGAUGGGAAACGGGUUAAUAUUCCCGUACUUCUGACUAUUGCGAUGGGGGGACGGAGAAGGCUAGGUGGGCCAGGCGACGGUUGUCCUGGUUCAAGUGCGUAGGCUUGAGAGUUAGGUAAAUCCGGCUCUCUCUAAGGCUGAGACACGACGUCGAGCUACUACGGUAGUGAAGUCAUUGAUGCCAUGCUUCCAGGAAAAGCCUCUAAGCUUCAGAUAGUCAGGAAUCGUACCCCAAACCGACACAGGUGGUCGGGUAGAGAAUACCAAGGCGCUUGAGAGAACUCGGGUGAAGGAACUAGGCAAAAUGGUACCGUAACUUCGGGAGAAGGUACGCUCUUGAUGGUGAAGUCCCUCGCGGAUGGAGCUGACGAGAGUCGCAGAUACCAGGUGGCUGCAACUGUUUAUUAAAAACACAGCACUGUGCAAAAUCGCAAGAUGACGUAUACGGUGUGACGCCUGCCCGGUGCCGGAAGGUUAAUUGAUGGGGUUAGCGCAAGCGAAGCUCUUGAUCGAAGCCCCGGUAAACGGCGGCCGUAACUAUAACGGUCCUAAGGUAGCGAAAUUCCUUGUCGGGUAAGUUCCGACCUGCACGAAUGGCGUAAUGAUGGCCACGCUGUCUCCACCCGAGACUCAGUGAAAUUGAAAUCGCUGUGAAGAUGCAGUGUACCCGCGGCUAGACGGAAAGACCCCGUGAACCUUUACUACAGCUUGGCACUGAACAUUGAACCUACAUGUGUAGGAUAGGUGGGAGGCUAUGAAGA